rnacentral:rRNA from 1 species
AGUCGACGGUAGCAGGUUUAGAAUUGUUUACAGUUUUAGAUGCUGACGCGUGUGCGGACGGGUGAGUAACGCGUGGGAAUAUUCCUUGUGGAUGGGGAUAACCUGUGGAAACGCAGGCUAAUACCGAAUAAGCCGUAAGAGGGAAAGGGAAGGGACCUGAGAGGGCCUUUUGCCAUAAGAUGAGCCUGCGUCGGAUUAGCUAGUUGGUGGGGUAAAGGCCUACCAAGGCGGAGAUCCGUAGCUGGUCUGAGAGGACGACCAGCCACACUGGGACUGAGACACGGCCCAGACUCCUACGGGAGGCAGCAGUGGGGAAUAUUGGACAAUGGGCGCAAGCCUGAUCCAGCAAUACCGCGUGUGUGAAGAAGGCCUGCGGGUUGUAAAGCACUUUCGUUGGGGAGGAAGUUUUAAAGGUGAAUAGCCUUUAAGAUUGACGUUACCCAAAUAAGAAUCACCGGCAAACUCUGUGCCAGCAGCCGCGGUAAUACAGAGGGUGCGAGCGUUAAUCGGAAUUACUGGGCGUAAAGGGUGCGUA